rfam:Actinomyces sp. oral taxon 180 str. F0310 genomic scaffold SCAFFOLD1, whole genome shotgun sequence.
GGGGAUGAUCGGUUUCGACAGUGGUCGUCGAUCGAAGUGAAGCGAGCCGAGGACGUGCGCUCAACUCGUUAACGAUGCGUGCAAACCAAUAGGUGCCGAACAGAAUCGCACCGACUACGUUCUCGCUGCCUGAUAUCGCAGCCUGAACCUUUAGUCCGUCAGCCCGGGAGCUGCUUCCGGCCCGGUGUCUGGCGUCGUCUAGGGAGCCACUGGGUGCCGCCCAUGUUGGUGGGGCGGCUCCGACACUCAAUCAACUGAGCCCAUCCGGCGGUGAGUCUACGCGGAUGCCGGGGGCCGAGAAAUACACUCGUAGACUGCGCUCGGAGAAGAAUUCGGGGUCGGCUAUUGGACGGGGGUUCGAUUCCCCCCAUCUCCACCC